GUAGGAGUCCGUGCGGAAUCUUCCUGCAAUUAAAGUCAGGUGCGAAGUCUGGCUCCCGUAGGAGUCCGGACGGAGCUUACCGACAGUUGAAGUUGGCGACGGAGCCCGGUUCCCGUAGGAGUCCGGGCGAAGUCUCUCUUGGAGUCGUGGAUGGAGCCCGGCUCCCAUAGGAGUCCGGGCGGAAUCCUGCUGCAAUUAAAGUCAGGUGCGAAGUCCGGCUCCCGUAGGAGU
rnacentral:lncRNA from 1 species